rnacentral:misc_RNA from 1 species
GAAAGUUGUAGCUCUUCACAUGGAGGGAAAAGCUUUGCAAUGGCAUCAAGGAUACGUAAAAAUCAAGGGACAGAGUGCUUAUGCAGAUUGGAAUUUGUAUGUGAUGGGAAUAACUGCAAGAUUUGGGUGCAAGGCCUAUGAUAAUCCGCUGGCUGAUUUAAGAAACCUUAAACAAGUAUAAUCUUUGCAAGAUUGCUUAGAUUCAUUUGAUGAGUUGUAUCCAAAGGCUAGAAUUCAUGUGGACCAAGCCUUGAGUUGUUUUC